UACGUAGGGUGCGAGCGUUAAUCGGAAUUACUGGGCGUAAAGCGUGCGCAGGCGGUUUUGUAAUACAGGUGUGAAAUCCCCGGGCUUAACCUGGGAACUGCGCUUGUGACUGCAAAGCUAGAGUACGGCAGAGGGGGGUGGAAUUCCACGUGUAGCAGUGAAAUGCGUAGAUAUGUGGAGGAACACCGAUGGCGAAGGCAGCCCCCUGGGCCGAUACUGACGCUCAUGCACGAAAGCGUGGGGAGCAAACAGGAUUAGAUACCCUGGUAGUCCACGCCCUAAACGAUGUCGACUAGUUGUUCGGAGCGGUAACGCACUGAGUAACGUAGCUAACGCGUGAAGUCGACCGCCUGGGGAGUACGGUCGCAAGAUUAAA
rnacentral:rRNA from 1 species